rnacentral:tRNA from 1 species
GGGGAGGUGGCUCAGUGGUUAAGAGCACUGACUGCUCUUCCAGAGGUCCUGAGUUCAAAUCUCAGCAACCACA